rnacentral:rRNA from 1 species
UACGUAGGGUGCAAGCGUUGUCCGGAAUUAUUGGGCGUAAAGAGCGUGUAGGCGGCCCGAUUAGUCCGCUGUGAAAGUCCAGGGCUCAACCCUGGAAUGCCGGUGGAUACUGUCGGGCUAGAGUCCGGAAGGGGCGAGUGGAAUUCCUGGUGUAGCGGUGAAAUGCGCAGAUAUCAGGAGGAACACCGAUGGCGAAGGCGGCGUCCUGGGGUGAGGUUGACGCUCAGACACGAAAGCAUGGGGAGCGAACGGG